AAUUUGAAAUCUGGCCCCUUCGGGGUCCGAGUUGUAAUUUGUAGAGAGCGCUUCGGGUGAGGUCGCGGUCUAAGUCCAUUGGAACAUGGCGUCGUAGAGGGUGAGAAUCCCGUAUGCGACCGCGGACCGAGCCCAUGUGCAGCCUCUUCGACGAGUCGAGUUGUUUGGGAAUGCAGCUCAAAAUGGGUGGUAUAUUUCAUCUAAAGCUAAAUAUUGGCUGGAGACCGAUAGCGCACAAGUAGAGUGAUCGAAAGAUGAAAAGCACUUUGGAAAGAGAGUCAAACAGUACGUGAAAUUGUUGAAAGGGAAGCGCUUGCAACCAGACCUGCCCGGGGGCGAUCAGCCGCUGUUCUCAGCGGUGCACUCGUUCCCCGAUCAGGCCAGCAUCGGUUUCGGCGGUCGGACAAAGGCCCCGGGAAUGUAGCUUCCCUCGGGGAGUCUUAUAGCCCGGGGUGCAAUGCGGCCAGCCGGGACCGAGGACCGCGCUUCGGCUAGGAUGCUGGCGUAAUGGUUGUCAGCGACCC
rnacentral:rRNA from 1 species